GAUGAACGCUGGCGGCGUGCCUAAUACAUGCAAGUCGAGCGAACGGACGAGAAGCUUGCUUCUCUGAUGUUAGCGGCGGACGGGUGAGUAACACGUGGAUAACCUACCUAUAAGACUGGGAUAACUUCGGGAAACCGGAGCUAAUACCGGAUAAUAUUUUGAACCGCAUGGUUCAAAAGUGAAAGACGGUCUUGCUGUCACUUAUAGAUGGAUCCGCGCUGCAUUAGCUAGUUGGUAAGGUAACGGCUUACCAAGGCAACGAUGCAUAGCCGACCUGAGAGGGUGAUCGGCCACACUGGAACUGAGACACGGUCCAGACUCCUACGGGAGGCAGCAGUAGGGAAUCUUCCGCAAUGGGCGAAAGCCUGACGGAGCAACGCCGCGUGAGUGAUGAAGGUCUUCGGAUCGUAAAACUCUGUUAUUAGGGAAGAACAUAUGUGUAAGUAACUGUGCACAUCUUGACGGUACCUAAUCAGAAAGCCACGGCUAACUACGUGCCAGCAGCCGCGGUAAUACGUAGGUGGCAAGCGUUAUCCGGAAUUAUUGGGCGUAAAGCGCGCGUAGGCGGUUUUUUAAGUCUGAUGUGAAAGCCCACGGCUCAACCGUGGAGGGUCAUUGGAAACUGGAAAACUUGAGUGCAGAAGAGGAAAGUGGAAUUCCAUGUGUAGCGGUGAAAUGCGCAGAGAUAUGGAGGAACACCAGUGGCGAAGGCGACUUUCUGGUCUGUAACUGACGCUGAUGUGCGAAAGCGUGGGGAUCAAACAGGAUUAGAUACCCUGGUAGUCCACGCCGUAAACGAUGAGUGCUAAGUAUUAGGGGGUUUCCGCCCCUUAGUGCUGCAGCUAACGCAUUAAGCACUCCGCCUGGGGAGUACGACCGCAAGGUUGAAACUCAAAGGAAUUGACGGGGACCCGCACAAGCGGUGGAGCAUGUGGUUUAAUUCGAAGCAACGCGAAGAACCUUACCAAAUCUUGACAUCCUUUGACAACUCUAGAGAUAGAGCCUUCCCCUUCGGGGGACAAAGUGACAGGUGGUGCAUGGUUGUCGUCAGCUCGUGUCGUGAGAUGUUGGGUUAAGUCCCGCAACGAGCGCAACCCUUAAGCUUAGUUGCCAUCAUUAAGUUGGGCACUCUAAGUUGACUGCCGGUGACAAACCGGAGGAAGGUGGGGAUGACGUCAAAUCAUCAUGCCCCUUAUGAUUUGGGCUACACACGUGCUACAAUGGACAAUACAAAGGGCAGCGAAACCGCGAGGUCAAGCAAAUCCCAUAAAGUUGUUCUCAGUUCGGAUUGUAGUCUGCAACUCGACUACAUGAAGCUGGAAUCGCUAGUAAUCGUAGAUCAGCAUGCUACGGUGAAUACGUUCCCGGGUCU
rnacentral:rRNA from 1 species